UACAGAGGGGGCAAGCGUUGUUCGGAAUUACUGGGCGUAAAGGGCGCGUAGGCGGCCCGCUAAGUCGAACGUGAAAUCCCCGAGCUCAACUCGGGAACUGCGUCCGAUACUGGAAGGCUUGAAUCCGGGGGAGGGAUGCGGAAUUCCAGGUGUAGCGGUGAAAUGCGUAGAUAUCUGGAGGAACACCGGUGGCGAAGGCGGCAUCCUGGACCGGUAUUGACGCUGAGGCGCGAAAGCCAGGGGAGCAAACGGG
rnacentral:rRNA from 1 species